rnacentral:rRNA from 1 species
GAUGAACGCUGGCGGCGUGCCUAAUACAUGCAAGUCGAGCGAACAGACGAGGAGCUUGCUCCUCUGACGUUAGCGGCGGACGGGUGAGUAACACGUGGAUAACCUACCUAUAAGACUGGGAUAACUUCGGGAAACCGGAGCUAAUACCGGAUAAUAUAUUGAACCGCAUGGUUCAAUAGUGAAAGACGGUUUUGCUGUCACUUAUAGAUGGAUCCGCGCCGCAUUAGCUAGUUGGUAAGGUAACGGCUUACCAAGGCAACGAUGCGUAGCCGACCUGAGAGGGUGAUCAGCCACACUGGAACUGAGACACGGUCCAGACUCCUACGGGAGGCAGCAGUAGGGAAUCUUCCGCAAUGGGCGAAAGCCUGACGGAGCAACGCCGCGUGAGUGAUGAAGGUCUUCGGAUCGUAAAACUCUGUUAUUAGGGAAGAACAAAUGUGUAAGUAAAUAUGCACGUCUUGACGGUACCUAAUCAGAAAGCCACGGCUAACUACGUG